AUACUCCCGAUUCAUGAGCUCGAGGGUCUCUUCCUUGUGACCAAAACCUUUUCGGUUGUAAUUCUUACUCCUGCGAAAGUGUUCCGCAAGAAUCA